AUGAGCAGGCAAACAGAUCCGACCAGUGUUUUGGUUUCAGCCUCAGACGCAACGGGUUUUCCUUGACAAGACAACCGCCUCACCUACUUAUUCAAAAUUUCACUCUAUAAAAAUGAAACCUCUCUCGCUUUGCCCACUGGUACUAAUGAAGGGGAAUAAAUUUCUAUGUUUCUCUCGGCAGCAAAAGUCCCACUGAUAAUAUCAAAUGGAGUCAUAAAGUUUUCUGUC